GGUGAGAUGGCCGAGUGGUUAUGGCGCUGCGUUCAGGUAAACCUGAACUUGAUAUUGUCAAGAUAUCAUGAGUUUCGCAGUGGAGCAAUCCGCGUGGGUUCGAGUCCCACUCUCAUCA
rnacentral:tRNA from 1 species